AUUUUUUUGUAGUUCAUAAGCGUGAUGAUUGGGUACUCAUGCUCUUGUGUGAGAGGUGCCUCCCUCAAACCUUGCUGAGACUUCACCACAUUGCUGGUCUGAAG
ensembl:snoRNA small nucleolar RNA U13